rnacentral:lncRNA from 1 species
UAUAUAUGAAAGAGUUUUAUAUCAAAGAUCAGAAAACGAAACUUGGGAAAAAAAUAAAAAAACCAUUCACGAGCAAAAAUUUGAAACAAAAAAUAUGGAAAUUAAAAAAAGCCCAAGACAAAUUUGAAAGAAAAAUUGGAAGAAUUUUUUUUAAAAAAAAAUGAGAAAUUAACAAUCAGGAACAAAAUUUCGAAACAACAUUUCAAAAAAAAC